UACGUAGGGUGCAAGCGUUGUCCGGAAUUAUUGGGCGUAAAGAGCUCGUAGGCGGCUGUUCAAGUCGAACGUGAAAACUCGGAGCUCAACUCCGAGCCUGCGUUCGAUACUGGACGGCUAGAGUCUGGUAGGGGGAUCUGGAAUUCCUGGUGUAGCGGUGGAAUGCGCAGAUAUCAGGAGGAACACCGGUGGCGAAGGCGGGAUCCUGGGCCAGUACUGACGCUGAGGAGCGAAAGCGUGGGGAGCAAACAGG
rnacentral:rRNA from 1 species